AGAGCGCAAGGGGAAUGCCUUGGCAUCAGGAGCCGAUGAAGGACGCGACAAGCUGCGAUAAGCUUCGGGUAGCUGCAAAUAAGCAAUGAUCCGGAGAUUUCCGAAUGGGGCAACCCGGCACGGCAAUACCGUGUCAGCGUGCACUGAAUCAAAUAGGUGUACGUGGGGAACCGCCUGAACUGAAACAUCUAAGUAGGGCGAGGAAAAGACAUCAACAGAGAUUCCGCAAGUAGUGGCGAGCGAACGCGGAGGAGGCCAAACCAGAGGUCAUUGAUCUCUGGGGUAAGGACUUGCAUCAUGAUCAGAGGUAUCUAGUCGAAUGGCGUGGGAAAGCCAACCACAGAGGGUGAGAGUCCCGUAGACGAAAGAGAAGACUGACAGCGAGUAUCCAGAGUACCGCCGGACACGUGAAACCCGGUGGGAACAUGGGAGGACCACCUUCCAAGCCUAAAUACUACCUGAUGACCGAUAGAGAAGCAGUACCGUGAGGGAAAGGUGAAAAGAACCCCGGGAGGGGAGUGAAAUAGUACCUGAAACCUUGUGCUUACAAGCAGUCAGAGCACGUUAAAGUGUGAUGGCGUACCUUUUGUAGAAUGGUCCGGCGAGUUAUAGUCACUGGCGAGGUUAAGCAAUUCAGUUGUGGAGCCGAAGGGAAACCGAGUCUUAAUAGGGCGUCGAGUCAGUGGCCAUAGACCUGAAACCGGGUGACCUAUCCAUGAGCAGGUUGAAGUUGGUGUAAAAGCCAAUGGAGGACCGAACCCACGUUCGUUGCAAUGACCGGGGAUGACUUGUGGAUAGCGGAGAAAUUCCAAUCGAACUCGGAGAUAGCUGGUUCUCCCCGAAAUAGCUUUAGGGCUAGCCUCAUAUUAGAUACCCGGAGGUAAAGCACUGAAUGGCCUAGCGCCCGAGAGGGUAGCGAAGCCUAUCAAACUAAGAAUGCCGGAGUAUUGAUGUAUGGGAGUCAGACAGUGUGAGAUAAAUCUCAUUGUCAAAAGGGAAACAGCCCAGAUCUACAGCUAAGGUCCCAAAUUGUAUCUAAGUGGAAAACGAUGUGGAAAUACGCAGACAACCAGGAUGUUGGCUCAGAAGCAGCCACUCAUUUAAAGAGUGCGUAAUAGCUCACUGGUCGAGCGUCUCUGCGCGGAAAAUUUAACGGGGCUAAGAUACAAACCGAAGCUUAGGCUGCACGAAAGUGCGGGGUAGGGGAGCGUUGUGUAAGCGGAGAAACAGUAGCGUAAGCGGCUGUGGAGUUUACAGAAGUGAGAAUGCCGGAAUGAGUAGCGCGAAUGUGGUGAGAAUCCACAUGGCCGGAAACCUCAGGUUUUUGGAGGAAGGUUCGUCCGCUCCAAGUUAGGCGGGAGCUAAGGUCAGGCCGAAAGGCGUAGCCGAUGCACAGACGGUAGAGAUUCCGUCCCCACCGAAAGAUUUAAGCACAGGGACACUUUUUGAAGGUCGGAGCCAGGUGUUGGUUCUGGUAGUGAUCGAGGGAAAUAUAGUACCGAAGUCCGGCUGGAAGAGAGGCGAGAAAAGCUGUGUGUAUAUCUAAGGUGCCCGUACCGCAAACCGACACAGGUAGGUAGGAAGAAGAUUCUAAGGCCAACGGGAGAAGGGUUGUUAAGGAACUCGGCAAAUUGACCCCGUAACUUCGGGAGAAGGGGUGCUCCAGAGAUGGAGCCGCAGAGAAUCGGCCCAAGCAACUGUUUACCAAAAACACAGGUUUGUGCUAAAUCGAAAGAUGACGUAUACGAGCUGACGCCUGCCCGGUGCUGGAAGGUUAAGAGGAGAUGUGCAAGCAUUGAAUCGAAGCCCCAGUGAACGGCGGCCGUAACUAUAACGGUCCUAAGGUAGCGAAAUUCCUUGUCAGGUAAGUUCUGACCCGCAUGAAAGGCGUAAUGAUUUGGGCACUGUCUCAACAGCCCGCCCGGCGAAAUUGUAGUACCGGUGAAGAUGCCGGUUACCCGCGACAAGACGGAAAGACCCCAUGGAGCUUUACUGUAGCCUAAUAUUGGGUUUCGAUGUUGCAUGCACAGGAUAGAUGGGACACAGGGAAGCAAAUGCUUUGGCAUUUGUGGAGUGGCCGUUGGGAUACCAUCCUUGCGAUAUUGGAAUUCUAACCUGCGCCUUUGAAUCAAGGCGGGGGACAUUGUUAGGUGGGCAGUUUGACUGGGGCGGUCGCCUCCUAAAGAGUAACGGAGGCGUUCAAAGGUUCGCUCAGCUUGAACGGAAAUCAAGCAAAAGAGUGCAAACGCAGAAGCGAGCCUAACUGCGAGACUGACGGGUCGAGCAGUAACGAAAGUUGGAGUUAGUGAUCCGGUGGUAUGUGAGUGGAAAUGCCAUCGCUCAACGGAUAAAAGUUACCCUGGGGAUAACAGGCUGAUCUCCCCCAAGAGUCCACAUCGACGGGGAGGUUUGGCACCUCGAUGUCGGCUCAUCGCAUCCUGGGGCUGAAUUCGGUCCCAAGGGUUUGGCUGUUCGCCAAUUAAAGCGGUACGCGAGCUGGGUUCAGAACGUCGUGAGACAGUUCGGUCCCUAUCUGUCGUGGGCGUAGGAUAUUUGAAGAGCGCUGUCCCUAGUACGAGAGGACCGGGAUGGACGCACCGCUGGCGCAUCGGUUGUCAUGCCAAUGGCACGGCCGAGCAACUAUGUGCGGUUUGGAUAAACGCUGAAAGCAUCUAAGCGUGAAGCCAUCUCUAAGAUAAGAUAUCCCAUAGCAUAAGCUAGUAAGACCCCUCAAAGACUAUGAGGUUGAUAGGCUGCGUGUGUAAGUACGGCGACGUAUUUAGCUUGGCAGUACUAAUAGGUCGAGGGCUUGACCU
rnacentral:rRNA from 1 species